ACAAAAUAUUUUAUAGUUGAAGGGAAAAUAUCAACAAACCACCUAAAUGAACCACAAAAUGGAUCAUCUAUCAUCAAAGAAUUAACUCAACGUGGGACUAGAAUUCAUCAUAAAACAUCGUACCAUAUUGAGCUAACUAAUGGAUUUAAAUAAGAAUGCAUCGUAAAGCAUUUAAUGCAUUAUUAAGCGUCUCCUCAAUGCCCAGCUGCUGUUGGCUAAAUACUCAACCGAGGAUUUGGGGAAAGUUUUUAAAAUAAAAUUAAAGAAUUAUAAAUGGAACAAAAAACAUUUAAAAGAGACUUUUUCUUAAUGGAAAUGCAACAGCAAUAGGAAAAUAAUAAUAAUAAAAUAUUGCUUUAAAAAAACAUAUUUAUACAAAGUUGAUUAAGAAACGAAAACAACGAAAUAUAAAUGUUUUAAGGCAAAAGAGAAUUAUUGUUUACAAACAAAAUAAAAGAGUUUUCACUAUAAAAAAGGAUAAAAACAGCAACAAUAUUAGCGUACUCUUAAGAAAACAGCAGCAGCAGCAGAAGAAGCAACAAUAAGUCUAAAAAUAACAACAGCAGCAGCAUACAACCCUUACUCCAAUUUUAUUUUCUUUGUUUUCCUUUUCUCUCUGCACACUGGGGAUUUUCUUAACUCCAGCGAACUCUUUUCCAAAAAAAGUUCUUUUUCUUAAAAACUACUAAAGAAAAUACAACAAUAAAAGGAAAUAUUAAAAUAACAAGGAGGAACAUCGUUACAAACUAGUUCCUUAACAUUUACAGUUAAAGUUGUAAAAGGAGUAAAAAAAAAACUGCUGCUGAAAUUCUGCUAAGUAUAAACUAAUGUAAUUUACAUACAACAACGCAUUUACUCACAUUGUUAGAGUAAAAGAGAUAGCAAGAGUUAAGCAUAAUAAUAAUAAUAAUAAUAAUAAGAAGAAGAAGGAGAAUAAGAAAAAGCUUUAAGCAAGAAAUGAUGAUGCUGUUUAACUGUAAAAAGUAGCAACAACAAGACAUGUACGAAUUAUAUCAUCAGUGCAGUAAAAUUCGUUUUAAAUUAAAGCUGUUAAAUAAAUAGUUACAAAUUGUUGUUAAACCUCCUCAAGAAAAGGUGUUGAGUCAAAAGCAAAUAAAAACACUUAAGGAAUUUGCAAAUAAUUUAGAGAAAAAUUAGCAACCUUUUAAAAGAAAUACAAAGUAAUAAAAAACUACAAAAAAACCAAAAAGAAAAUCGAAAUCCUUGAACCACAAAACAACAAUUGGUAUAGAAAAUAAAAAUGGGAUUUGAUGAGUUUAUAGCCUCAAGGGUUUUUCUAACAGCAGCAUCAGGAAAAGUAACCACAGAAGCAACAACAGCAACAAAUUGUAUAAAAAUUGUUGACAACAACAGCAAUAAAAACAUCGAUAAAAUAGACAAAUCAAAAGAUAAGUUUGUAAAAAGGUUGCUUGCAACAGACAAAGAAGUCUUAUUCAAUUUUAUUGGUGACCAGAAACAGUUAACAACACUUUCAUACCAUCACCAGCAACUAAUACCGCAAUUGCAACUACCAAUAGAUUUUUGCAAUAGCAAUAGCAAUAAAAUUUAUCCUAAAAAUCAUGGAGAUUUUUGUGUGAUAUCAAUUCUAACUUCAACGUCAUAAAACAUAAAAUAUCCUUGAAGUAUUAAAAUUAGAAAUUGAAAAAUAUUGUAUUAUUUGUUGUAAAACAAAAAAAAAAUUGUUUAAAAUUAAAGCAAAAUCUUUUUAAAUUAGUUAUAAUUUGUAAGAGAAAGUGAAGUUAAAAUGCAACGUUUACGUACAACAUUUACGCGUUCGCGUACCCCAACUGGUGCUGAAAUGAAAACUCAAAAUAGUCUUGAAGUACCAAAACAGGUACGUUCGGCUUCAUUUGAUGAAAUGCAACUGGAGGCUCAACGCAUGUCUUCGCAUUUUCUCAAACAACAAUCCUCCUCCGAUGAACGUUCAUCUGAAGGAGGAUUUCUGCAAGUUCCUCAAGCCUCACAUACACAGCGUUCACAUUCCUUCGAUUCGGCAGCUGCUUCAGCGGGUAGUGAUGAUUCGGGUACGUUUUUGGAGGUGCCAAGGAGAGGUAAAACCCGACGUAGUUCCUCUACCAAAACACCGCCUCCUUGUAUACACUGUUUAUAUUUGGAGGAGUAUGAGAAACAAAUGUCGGUGGAACAGCGUUAUUUUAUCGAUCAUCGUGAAAUUAAAAGUCUGAGUUAUAGUUAUAGCAGUUCCGAGGGUAGUGGUGAUGAAGAUGAUGAUGGUGACGAGGAAGAGGGUGAGGAAGGUGAAGAUGGUGAGGCUACGGAUGAGGAUGUUAAUCCUUGUACUGAAGAUGAACAAUUGGGUGGUGAGUCUAUAGAUGUUUAUGAUGAUGCAGCCUUGGAAAUGGAUAUACGUUUGGGUGGCAUGUCUAGCGGUAUAGAUGAGACUAGAGCUCGACUGCCACGACAAAUGCGACGCCAUACUAUAGGCAGUUCGGUUACCACCUCAGAAGAUGAGGGUCUCGAAGAGUCAGAACAUGAUUCUCCGCAUUUUGGCAAUACUCUUAUGCCCCCGCCUCCGACGACGCCCUGUGGCAUAACAUUUACUUUAUCGCCUACAAAUGGUGAUUAUCCGCCUUUUCCUGCCUACUCAUUCCCCAUAGAUCCUGGUUCACCUCCUGUUUCACCGUUAUUCUCAUUGUCGGUGUGUGAUAGUCCGGUUAUGGAACUGCCACCGCCACCACCUAUUUCACCUUUAGAAUUACUGCCACAACCACCAUCAUUCGAUUUAACUUUACCACCACCACCAGCCUUUAGUACUGAUCUUCCUCCUGCCUCUGAUACAGCCGCAGAAAUAACAACGACUACAGAUGACAAUGAAAACAAUUCCAAUACGAAUUCUAUGCCACCACCACUCUCGCCCUCUACACAACGACCUCGAAGACGUUCCAUCUCCCGCCAAGAAGCUAUUUUCGUUGAGCCCACGGGCAAUUCUCUGGAAAAUGUCUCACAAGAAGAACAACACAAAUCUUCGGUGGACGCUAUCGAUUCGGUUGAUGAAGUUUCCACCAUGGCCACUUGUGGCUCACCGACCGCCGCUAAGCACGCACUCGUUGUACGUGAUAUUUAUCUAGCUGUACCUGAUUUGAGACGUGAUCGUGCUGCGUCUGUUGACUCCUGCUUUUCGAAAGUUUCCUCGGGUGGCAAAACGGAAGAACUCCAACCCAGUGAUGGUUGUUUUCUAACAGUGCCCAAUAUCAAUGCAACACGUUCACGUUCGGUAGAUAUUGUGCUGCCAACGGAUGAGCAGGCACGUUAUAAAGCUUUAGCUAUGGCUGGCACGUCUGCCAUGUAUGCUGAUGGUAGAACGACUUCUAGCACUGGUACAAGAAGACCCAUACGCAUUGUACCCGAUUGGACGGAAAAUGCUAUUCAGGGUGAACAUUAUUGGAAACCCUCAUCAGCAUCGGGUGAUUUAUGUUGUCUAAAUGAAGAAUGUAUUAAAAGUGGACAACGCAUGAAGUGCUCCGCAUGCCAAUUAAUUGCGCAUCAAAAUUGCAUUCCAAUGGUCAAUGAAAAGACUCAAUUAGCAUGUAAGCCAACAUAUCGAGAUGUAGGUAUAAGACAAUACAGGGAACAAACUGUUACUCAUCAUCACUGGGUCCAUCGUAAAAUGGAAAAAGGCAAAUGUAAACAAUGUGGAAAGGCUGUGCAAGGAAAGUUAUUUGGUUCCAAAGAAAUUGUUGCAUUGUCAUGUGCCUGGUGUCAUGAGGUGUAUCAUAAUAAGGAAUCGUGCUUUAAUCAAUCAAAGAUUGGCGAAGAAUGUAAAUUGGGUAAUUAUGCCCCCAUUAUUGUGCCCCCUUCAUGGAUUGUUAAAUUGCCCAGUAAAGGUAAUUUUAAAUCAUCCAUACGUGUCAAUAAUAAACAAAAUGCUUCUGGUAAAAAAGCUCGUGUGGCUAGUAAAAAGGGAACUAAGAAAGAGGAACGCAAGGAGCAGAGAGCUUUUAUAGUAAAGCCCAUACCCUCACCCGAGGUGAUACCGGUCAUUGUUUAUAUAAAUCCAAAAUCUGGUGGCAAUCAAGGUGUUAAGCUGUUGGGAAAGUUUCAACAUCUUUUGAAUCCUAGACAAGUGUUUGAUUUGACACAAGGUGGUCCUAAAAUGGGUUUGGAACUAUUUCGCAAAACACCUAAUUUGAGAAUAUUAGCUUGCGGUGGUGAUGGUACCGUAGGCUGGGUUUUAUCCGUACUAGAUCAAUUAAACCCACCGAUAACACCUCCACCAGCUGUAGGUGUGCUACCCUUAGGUACCGGCAAUGAUUUGGCUAGAGCUUUAGGUUGGGGUGGUGGUUAUACAGAUGAGCCUAUUGGUAAAAUUCUACGUGAAAUUGGCAUGUCACAAUGUGUUCUUAUGGAUCGGUGGCGUUUAAAAGUACGACUAAAUGAAGAUGUACCCGAUGACAAUGUGGAACGUAGCAAACCUAAUGUACCCUUAAAUGUGAUUAAUAAUUAUUUCUCAUUUGGUGUGGAUGCCCACAUUGCUCUUGAAUUUCAUGAGGCACGCGAGGCUCAUCCGGAACGUUUUAACUCACGUUUGCGAAAUAAAAUGUAUUACGGUCAAAUGGGUGGUAAAGAUUUGAUACUACGACAAUAUCGCAAUCUCUCACAAUGGGUUACACUGGAAUGUGAUGGCACUGAUUAUACGCAAAAGCUAAAAGAUGCUGGUUGUCAUGCUGUAUUAUUCUUAAAUAUUCCCAGUUACGGUGGUGGCACUCAUCCUUGGAAUGAUUCAUUUGGCCAGUCGAAACCCAGCAUAGAAGAUGGUCUCAUCGAGGUUGUUGGCCUAACAACCUAUCAAUUGCCCAUGUUGCAAGCUGGUCUCCAUGGUACUUGCAUUUGCCAGUGUCGUACGGCACGUAUAGUUACCACCAAAACGAUACCCAUGCAAGUAGAUGGCGAAGCAUGUCGUGUCAAGCCAUGCAUCAUUGAAGUGGAUUUAUUAAAUAAGGCUGUUAUGCUUGCCAAACGUAAACAGGGUCGUGGAGAUGUUCAAGUCAAUCCUUUGGAGAGAUUACAAUUGGUCAUAUUGCGUGUAACAAUGGAUCAAUAUGAGCGUCAUCACUACGACAAGCCAAUGCUGCGUAAAUUAGCCAAUAAAUUGGGUAUAGUGGAAAUCGACUCCCAAUGUGAUCUCGAACAAGUGCGCAAUAUGUUAAAUGAAAAAUUCGAACAAUCAAUAUCGUAUCCAAAAGUAUCACAAGAUUGGUGUUUCAUAGAUUCUUGUACUGCUGAGCAUUUCUUCCGCAUCGAUCGUGCCCAAGAGCAUCUACACUAUAUUUGUGACAUAGCCGCCGAUGAGUUAUUUAUAUUGGAUCAUGAAGCGGCCACCAUGCCACAAACACCCGAUCAGGAACGUUCAUUUUCGGCUUACUCACAGCGUCAGGCCCAAGAGCGUCGCAAUAUGGAACAAGGACGUUCGGGUAGUACUGGUAUGACCUUACCUUAUGCUUAUAAACGAAUGUUUUGCCAUUAUUAUUAUCGCAAAAAACCAGUACAAAUUUAAAGUUUUUUUUUUAUAUACAAAACACAAAUUGUUACCCCGUUUGCUUUUGUUUUACAAAAAUAUAAUUUACAACUUUUUUUUAAAUGAAUUGGAACACACUUUGGAAAGUGUUCUUUUCAUACUACACAAACACAAUCAGCAACACGCGAUAAAAAAGUGAACACAAUUUUUUUAGACUUUAAGUUAGUUUUGCUCUCUAUCUAUCUACAAAUAUCCUUUUUACACUUUGAUCUUUGAAAGAAAAAGAUUUCAGCAUACAGCUUAGUCCUUGCUGGCUAAAAACAAACACAUACAAUAACAAAAUACACCGCAUUAUCAACAUAGUACAGCAAGGAGUAUGUAAGUAUUACGAAUUUGCUGUUGUUCCGAGAUAUAAUGUAUUUUACCUAAUGUAUAUUGACAGCAAAGGCUAAACCGUAUACCGAUAUCUUCGUUACAAAAAAAAAGAAUUGUUUUGAAAAUUUAACAAUUAAAAUAAAUAAUUCAAAUUAUGAACUCCCCCCACCUUCUCCUCUAUCACCUUAACACUCAAUGUUAUUCUAGAGGAUAUACAAAUUGGAAAACCAAUUAAAGUUAUUAAAUUUAAAAGCCGCCAAGAUCGUUUAUUUAGUUUCAAUGAAGAAGUUUUUGGUUAUGGAUUCA